rnacentral:lncRNA from 1 species
ACAUAACCCUCUGCUACUUGUUUCUAUUUUUAGCUAAAAACAUGCCUUUACUUUCAGGCCAUAGUGUAUGAAGGCCAAGACAAGAACCCUGAAAUGUGCCGAGUAUUGCUCACACACGAGAUCAUGUGCAGGUAAGAAAUUUCCUCUCUCUUUCUCUCUCUGAAGUAAAGAUGAAUUUGGAUCUCAAGUCUAGGUGAAAUCAGUUCCAUUGGGGGGUGGGGAAUAUGUUUAUUUUGCGUUUGGUAAAUGGUCUGGAAGAAUUAUCAGACACAUUUGGUAAUUUGGUCAAGGAUCAUGUCGGUUCUCAGUUGUUUAUUACAUUUCAUCUUGGGAGACAUUAGUUUGCGUUUUUUGGUACCUCACUGUUCAUGGCCACAGAGCAGCAACCUCCCUCUUCCUUCGCAGUGGAGUGACAUAGAGUAUAAUUUCCUUUUUGGUGACAUUUGCACUCAUCUGCAUGCUUAGUAAAAUAUGAGUUCUCUUGAAGUCAGCAGAGGCUUCUGUUGGGGGCAACUUGAAAGUCAUACUUCCUCCUUUGAGUUCUGCUUACUAUAACACCCCAUACCUGAGCCUAAACUCAUCUCUGUCUCUUUCUGUCUCUGUCUCUCUCUGUCUCUUCUUUUCUCCUGUAGAUGGUCUUUUAGUAAUCCUGUUCAUAUCUGAGCAUGAAGCUAAUAUUUCUUGGGGGUGGUUUGCUUUGGGGUUUUGGGGGAAGGAAAAUGAAAAGGAGACCACAAAAGGUCUAAUAAUUCAUGUUCCUCACAGAUGAAUCUCUUUCUGCUGUGAUCAUGCUGAAGUGUCAUCUGAGACCACAGUGCCCCUUGGUGGCCUCAGCCAGGCCUAUGCAGCAGAGGGAUAAGGGCAGCCUUUUAACUUACACUCUUAUUCCUUGUAAAAUAACCCAGCAUUUUGCUCUCAACAUCUCCCAAGUAAUUAGAUAAAGCAGGGAGAUGCCACACUUGACAUCAGAGGAGAGUUCCUAAUUGCUUUGUUAGCUGAGCAGCCUCUCUCUGGCACAAUGUGUGUUUGGCUGGUGAAUGUCACUGACCAGUCUACAUGGGUCUUCAGCUGCCUUCUCAGCAUGGGAAGCCCUUACCGGCCACUCAUGGACUCUUGGGGCAAACAAUCUUACAACUCUACAGGUGGAAAAAGACUCAAAAGUGUGUUGUGUUUUCCGAGUGACAUCCCAAACAUUAACAUUUGUAUCUAUAAAAAUUCUGCUUUUUUUCUUUUUAGAAAUACUUCUGAUUUAUAGUUCUAAGAUAUAUAAGCGCUUCACACAUUUUCACUUCAGUGAUUUAUAAAACCUGUUAAUUAUUCUAAAAACCAGGUUGUUUUUUUUUUUCCUCCAGACUUAAGACAGUAGUGGAACACUCCUAAACAGGGUGGAAUUUCUUCAUCAGUAGAACGAGUUAGUUUUACCCUGUGUGUAUGACCUGGAUAUAAUCUGGCUGAGUGGCACCUUUUUAGAAGGAAAGGAGCAAGCCCCGGUUUAAAAAAUGUAACCUAAGUAAAUCGUAACCUCGUCUGUGUUACUGUUCCCCCAACCACAGCUCUAUCAUUUUAGCCUUCUACAAUUAACACGCCAUUAGACUGCCCUCUCCAUGUAGAGCUGCGUGUGGCUGUAGCAGAACAGGAAACAGGAAGAUGGAUUUCAGGAACAGGCCAAGCACUAGCUAUACAUCAUCGAUUUGCAUUUCGUAUCUGCAUAUGUUUGGAUUAUGCUGGAGAGAAUUCUAUUCCUGAACUACUUAGAGAUAUAUUAUGCCUCUCAUGCGCAGGGCCCCCCUCUAUUAAUGCAGUUUAUAUUUUCCUUGUUUUUAAAAUUCAUUGGUCCAAAGUGCUUUAUUAUGCUGGUUGGUGUGCUUUACUGCUCGCGUUCUCUCUAUUUUUCAGAAACAUAAAAAUAGC